UACGGAGGGGCUAGCGUUGUUCGGAAUUACUGGGCGUAAAGCGCACGUAGGCGGCUUUGUAAGUUAGAGGUGAAAGCCCAGGGCUUAACCCUGGAAUUGCCUUUAAGACUGCAUCGCUAGAAUCGUGGAGAGGUGAGUGGAAUUCCGAGUGUAGAGGUGAAAUUCGUAGAUAUUCGGAAGAAACACCAGUGGCGAAGGCGACUCACUGGACACGUAUUGACGCUGAG
rnacentral:rRNA from 1 species